AAGGCGACGACGGGUAGCCGGCCUGAGAGGGUGACCGGCCACACUGGGACUGAGACACGGCCCAGACUCCUACGGGAGGCAGCAGUGGGGAAUAUUGCACAAUGGGCGGAAGCCUGAUGCAGCGACGCCGCGUGAGGGAUGACGGCCUUCGGGUUGUAAACCUCUUUCAGCAGGGAAGAAGCCACAAGUGACGGUACCUGCAGAAGAAGCGCCGGCUAACUACGUGCCAGCAGCCGCGGUAAUACGUAGGGCGCAAGCGUUGUCCGGAAUUAUUGGGCGUAAAGAGCUCGUAGGCGGUUUGUCGCGUCUGCUGUGAAAGCCCGGGGCUCAACCCCGGGUCUGCAGUGGGUACGGGCAGACUAGAGUGCAGUAGGGGAGACUGGAAUUCCUGGUGUAGCGGUGAAAUGCGCAGAUAUCAGGAGGAACACCGAUGGCGAAGGCAGGUCUCUGGGCUGUUACUGACGCUGAGGAGCGAAAGCAUGGGGAGCGAACAGGAUUAGAUACCCUGGUAGUCCAUGCCGUAAACGUUGGGCACUAGGUGUGGGGGACAUUCCACGUUCUCCGCGCCGUAGCUAACGCAUUAAGUGCCCCGCCUGGGGAGUACGG
rnacentral:rRNA from 1 species